rnacentral:misc_RNA from 1 species
UACGGAGGGUGCAAGCAUUAAUCGGAUUUAUUGGGCGUAAAGGGCGCGUAGGUGGCUUUUCAAGUCAGAUGUGAAAUUCCGUGGCUCAACUGCGGAGCUGCAUUUGAAACUGAAGAGCUAUGAGGGUAGGCGGAGAAAGCGGAAUUCCGCAUGUAGCGGUGAAAUGCGUAGAUAUGCGGAAGAACACCGGUGGCGAAGGCGGCUUUCUAGCUUAACCCUGACACUGAUGCGCGAAAGCGUGGGGAGCAAACAGG